rnacentral:rRNA from 1 species
ACCUGCCCGGUGCUUGUAUGUUUAACGGCUGCGGUAUUUUGACUGUGCUAAGGUAGCUUAAUCAGUUGUUUUUUAAUUGAAAACUGGAAUGAAGGGUUAAACAGGCUGAGGUAGUUUGUAUAGUUUAACUAGUAAAUUAAAGUCUAGGUAAGAAUUCUUCGAUUUUCUAGGGGACGAUAAGACCCUAGAAGCUUUAAAAAAGAAAAAUUUUUAGUGGUUGUAUUGUAUUUUUACUGGGGCGGUAUUAGUGUUUUAACUACUAGUGAUAAAGAUUGAUCCUUAAUAUAAAGAUAAUUCGGUGAAGUUACUCUAGGGAUAACAGUGCGGUAUUUUUGGAAAGGCCUUAUUAAUAAAAAUGUUCGCAACCUCGAUGUUGAAUUAAGAUGUCUACAUGGGGUAGUAAAUAUAGUAGAGGGUUUG